rnacentral:lncRNA from 1 species
AUGUAAUAUAAUGUUUUUGAGUUUCAUCUAUAUUAUAGCACGUAUCAAUAGUUUCUUUUCAGGGCUGAAUAAUAUUCCAUCAUAAAUAUACCACAUUUUGUUCAUUCAUCAUUUGAUGGACAUUUGGGUGGUUUCCACCUUUUGGCUAUUGUGAAUAGUACUGUUGAGAAUAUUCAUGUACAAGUCUGUGUUUAAACAUUUGUUUCAGUUAUUUUGUGUAUAUGCCUUGGAGUAGAACUGCUGGGUUAUAGG